UGUGAGCAGUCCUGGGUGGCAGGAUGGACAGUGACAUGUUUAGUGUCUCUAGCAGACGGCCUUUCCUGGCAGGCUAGAGUGAAAAUGAAGUUUCCAGCCGCGCUCUUCACUGGGCGGAUCCCAGCCCUGGGCUGGCCCUGGGCACUCAGAGGGGUCGCUGUGGGAGGCCGUCGGCCAGGCCUGCCACUUGCCCUUCUGCACCGUUUUCUUCCCACCCAGGCCAUCCUCUUCCUGCAGCAGCUUUUGGACUUCCAGGAGACGGCAGGCGCCAUGCUGGCCUCCCAAGUUCUUGGGGACACAUACAAUAUUCCUUUAGACCCCCGAGAGACCAGCUCUUCGGCCACCAGCUACAGCUCUGAGUUCAGCAAGCGGCUGCUAAGCACCUAUAUCUGUAAAGUGCUGGGCAACCUGCAGUUGAACUUGCUGAGCAAGUCCAAGGUGUACGAGGACCCAGCUCUGAGCGCCAUCUUCCUGCACAACAACUACAAUUACAUCCUCAAGUCCCUGGAGAAGUCUGAACUGAUCCAGCUGGUGGCAGUGACACAGAAGACUG
rnacentral:sRNA from 1 species